rnacentral:rRNA from 1 species
AUUGAACGCUGGCGGCAGGCUUAACACAUGCAAGUCGAGCGGAGAGAAGUAGCUUGCUACUGAUCUUAGCGGCGGACGGGUGAGUAAUGCUUAGGAAUCUGCCUAUUAGUGGGGGACAACAUUCCGAAAGGGAUGCUAAUACCGCAUACGCCCUACGGGGGAAAGCAGGGGAUCUUCGGACCUUGCGCUAAUAGAUGAGACUAAGUCGGAUUAGCUAGUUGGUGGGGUAAAGGCCUACCAAGGCGACGAUCUGUAGCGGGUCUGAGAGGAUGGUCCGCCUCACUGGGACUGGGACACGGCCCAGGCGCCUACGGGAGGAAGCAGUGGGGAAUAUUGGACAAUGUGCGGAAGCCUGAUCCAGCCAUGCCGCGUGUGUGAAGAAGGCCUUUUGGUUGUAAAGCACUUUAAGCGAGGAGGAGGCUCUCAAGGUUAAUACCCUUGAUGAGUGGACGUUACUCGCAGAAUAAGCACCGGCUAACUCUGUGCCAGCCGCCGCAGUAAGAC